GAAUAGAUUGAUCACUGUCCUCCAUGACGAUCCUACGAUCAGGAGCAUUUAGAAAUUAACCACUAAUGAUGUGUGUCUCAAAUUCUCAACACCUUGAGAAUAUACAAAAUCAUUUUUAUUAAUUUUUAAGAUAAAUCAUGGAAAUAUACAAUAUGAUUGAUAAUAAAAUUUAUUUGAUAAAUACAAAAAAUAUGCUCUAGAGAAAAGUAUGCAU
rnacentral:lncRNA from 1 species